rnacentral:rRNA from 1 species
AAGCUCGUAGUUGAAUUUCGGAAUGCAUGGGUCAAAGCUCGUCCUUGUGGCGUGGCUCGGCACGUGCUUCCUAUCUUUCGCAGGUGGGGCAACUCAUCGCGAAUUAUUUACUUUGAAAAAAUUAGAGUGUUCAAAGCAGGCGUAACUUGCCAUUGAAUAUUACAGCAUGGGAUAAUAGAAUAUGACGUUGGUCUUAUUUUGUUGGUUUCUAAGGCUGAUGUAAUGAUUAAUAGGGAUAGUUGGG